rnacentral:rRNA from 1 species
AGUCAAGAUAAUAAGGGCGUACGGUGGAUGCCUUGGCGCUUUGGGCCGAAGAAGGACGUAGUAAGCUGCGAUAAGCCUCGGGGAGCUGCAAGCAAGCGGAGAUCCGGGGAUUUCCGAAUGGGGAAACCCGGCGGGGGCGAACCCUCGUCACCGUUAACUGAAAUAAAAUAGGUUAACGGGGGGCACUCGGGGAACUGAAACAUCUUAGUACCCGGAGGAAAAGAAAGAAAAAUCGAUUCCCCUAGUAGCGGCGAGCGAAAAGGGAACAGCCCAAACCCUUCUCGAACUUCGAGAAGGGGGUUGCGGGACCUUCAAAAACCUUUAAGGCUCUUCUAAUCGAAGUGAGCUGGAAAGCUCCGUCAUAGAAGGUAACAACCCUGUAGGUGAAAGAAGAAGCUUUAGACAAGAAGGAAUCCCGAGUACCACGGGACACGGGAAACCCCGUGGGAAGCAGGGAGGACCACCUCCCAAGGCUAAAUACCCAAAGCGACCGAUAGUGAACUAGUACCGUGAGGGAAAGGUGAAAAGCACCCCGGGAGGGGAGUGAAAUAGUACCUGAAACCGUAUGCCUACAAGCAGUCGGAGCACUAUUUGGUGGUUAGUGGUUAGUGGUUAGUGGUUGGGGGUUACCCCAACGACCAAUUACUAACCACCCACCACCAAAGUGUGACGGCGUACUUUUUGUAGAACGGACCGGCGAGUUACUUUAAGCGGGCAAGGUUAAGGUCAGAAAGACCGGAGCCGCAGCGAAAGCAAGUCUUAACUGGGCGUAUUAGUCCGUUGGAGUAGACCCGAAACCGGGUGAGCUACCCAUGUCCAGAGUGAAGCGAAAGUGAAAUUUCGUGAAGGCUCGAACCAACCGUCGUUGAAAAGGCGGUGGAUGAGGUGUGGGUAGAGGUGAAAUGCCAAUCGAACCCGGAAAUAGCUGGUUCUCCCCGAAAUAGCUUUAGGGCUAGCCUUGGGGAAUUAAAUACCGGAGGUAGAGCACUGAAUGGGCUAGGGGCCUUCACCGGUUACCGAACUCAAUCAAACUCCGAAUGCCGGAUAUUUUUACCCCGGGAGUCAGACCGUGGGUGCUAAGAUUCAUGGUCAAGAGGGAAACAGCCCAGACCGUCGGCUAAGGUCCCUAAACCGUGCUAAGUGGGAAAGGAUGUGGAGUUGCCCGGACAACCAGGAUGUUGGCUUAGAAGCAGCCACCAUUUAAAGAGUGCGUAAUAGCUCACUGGUCAAGUGGUUCUGCGCCUAAAAUGUAACGGGGCUAAAGCAUGGUACCGAAGCCACGGAUCUCGGAGGUCAGUCGUCAGAGGUCAGAAGUCGGAGGAAAAACGUGAUUCAGAAUUACCAGGAUUUAGAGGUAUAUAACCGGUCUUACAGGCUUGCGUUAGAGAUACACAAGAUCACCCAGGCUUUCCCCAGUAUAGAAAGGCAUGAAUUGGGGAGUCAGGUUCGGCGGGCCGCCAUCUCCAUAGCAUUAAAUAUUGCUGAGGGGUAUGGUCGGAAAGAUUCACCGGCUGAGUUUAAGCAUUUUUUAAGAAAUGCUUUGGGUUCUUGUAAUGAAACGAGGGUCCUGGUUGACAUGGCAGGAGACCUUGGCUAUAUAAGCCAAGAACAACGCUUAAGAUUAAGCCAGGAAUACGAAGUUUUGAGCAAGCAAAUCUAUCGUUUAAAAGAAUCCUGGUCUAAAAAAUAAUCAAAAGGUUUCCGACAUCCGACAUCCGACGACCGACUUCCGAGAAGGUAGGGGAGCGUUCUGUAUGCAGCGAAGCUAUACCGUAAGGAGUGGUGGAGCGUACAGAAGAGAGAAUGCCGGUAUGAGUAAGCGAAAAGGCAGGUGAGAAUCCUGCCCGCCGAAAGCCUAAGGUUUCCUGGGGAAGGCUCGUCCGCCCAGGGUAAGCCGGACCUAAGCCGAGGCUGAAAAGCGUAGGCGAUGGACAAUCGGUGGAGAUUCCGAUGCCACCAGUUACCGUUACCGAUGGGGUGACCCGGGAGGGUAGACCAAGCGCGCCGUUGGAUGAGCGCGCCCAAGCCUGUAGGGCAGGGGAUAGGCAAAUCCGUCCCCUAAACAAGCCUAAGGGGUGAUGGGGAGGGAAAUUAAGUACCGAAGUGGUUGAACCCAUACCGGCUAGAAAAGCCUCUAAGGAUUUUAAGUACUGGUGUCCGUACCGCAAACCGACACAGGUAGGCGAGGAGAGAAUCCUAAGGCGCGCGAGAGAACCCUCGUUAAGGAACUCGGCAAAAUGACCCCGUAACUUCGGGAUAAGGGGUACCUCAUUAGCGUGGGCUUAAAUACUUAAGCUUGGCGCGAAGAGGUCGCAGUGAAAUGGCCCAAGCGACUGUUUACCAAAAACACAGGUCCCUGCAAAAUCGUAAGAUGAAGUAUAGGGGCUGACGCCUGCCCGGUGCUGGAAGGUUAAGGGGAGGGGUGAGAGCUCUGAACUGAAGCCCCAGUAAACGGCGGCCGUAACUAUAACGGUCCUAAGGUAGCGAAAUUCCUUGUCGGGUAAGUUCCGACCCGCACGAAUGGCGUAACGAUUUGGGCACUGUCUCAACGAGGGGCUUGGCGAAUUUGUAGUACCCGUGAAGAUGCGGGUUACCUGCGACAGGACAGAAAGACCCCGUGGAGCUUUACUGUAGCCUGAUAUUGGAUUUCGGUUUUCCAUGUACAGGAUAGGUGGGAGGCUGAGAACCCAAGGCGUUAGCUUUGGGGGAGCCAACCUUGGGAUACCACCCUUGGAGUAUUGAGGUUCUAACAAAGAGCCGUGUAUCCGGUUCGUGGACAGUGUCAGGUGGGCAGUUUGACUGGGGCGGUCGCCUCCCAAAAGGUAACGGAGGCGCCCAAAGGUUCCCUCAACGCGGUUGGAAAUCGCGUGGCAGAGUGCAAAGGCAGAAGGGAGCUUGACAGCGAGACAUACAAGUCGAGCUGGGACGAAAGUCGGGCUUAGUGAUCCGGCGGUUGCGUGUGGAAGCGCCGUCGCUCAACGGAUAAAAGCUACCCCGGGGAUAACAGGCUUAUCUCCCCCAAGAGUUCACAUCGACGGGGAGGUUUGGCACCUCGAUGUCGGCUCAUCGCAUCCUGGGGCUGAAGUAGGUCCCAAGGGUUGGGCUGUUCGCCCAUUAAAGCGGUACGUGAGCUGGGUUCAGAACGUCGUGAGACAGUUCGGUCCCUAUCCGUCGCAGGCGCAGGAAACUUGAGAGGAGCUGUCCCUAGUACGAGAGGACCGGGAUGGACAGACCGCUGGUGUACCAGUUAUCGUGCCAACGGUAGCGCUGGGUAUCUAUGUCUGGUGUGGAUAAACGCUGAAAGCAUCUAAGCGUGAAACCCCCCUCAAGAUAAGGUUUCCCACCUUCUCGAACUUCGAGAAGGGUAAGACCCCUGGUAGACUACCAGGUAGAUAGGCCGGGCGUGUAAGACUGGCAACAGUUUGAGCGGACCGGUACUAAUAGGUCGAGGGCUUGACUAU